rnacentral:rRNA from 1 species
UACGUAGGCAGCAAGCGUUGUUCGGAGUUACUGGGCGUAAAGAGUGCGUAGGCGGUUUCGUAAGUUUGGUGUGAAAUCUCCCGGCUUAACUGGGAGGGUGCGCCGAAAACUGCGGGGCUGGAGUGUGGGAGAGGUAAGCGGAAUUCCUGGUGUAGCGGUGAAAUGCGUAGAUAUCAGGAGGAACACCGGCGGUGUAGACGGCUUACUGGACCAUGACUGACGCUGAGGCACGAAAGCGUGGGGAGCGAACGGG